GUAGUCCUUGCCGUAAACGAUGUAUACUUGGCGUAGUUGGGCUCAACCCUGACUGUGUCGAAGCUAACGCGAUAAGUAUACCGCCUGAGGAGUACGCUCGCAAGGGUGAAACUCAAAAGAAUUGACGGGGGCCCGCACAAGCAGUGGAGCAUGUGGUUUAAUUCGAUGCAACGCGAAGAACCUUACCCAGGCUGGACAUACAGGAGACGAUAUCAGAGAUGAUAUUUUCCGCAAGGACUGCUGUACAGGUGCUGCAUGGCUGUCGUCAGCUCGUGCCGUGAGGUGUUGGGUUAAGUCCCGCAACGAGCGCAACCCUUAUCAUUAGUUGCCAACGCUAAAGGCGGGGACUCUAGUGAGACUGCCUAGGUUAACUAGGAGGAAGGUGAGGAUGAUGUCAAGUCCGCAUGGCCUUUAUGUCUGGGGCUACACACGUGCUACAAUGGCCGGUACAGAAGGCAGCGAAACCGCGAGGUGAAGCAAAUCCCUAAAACCGGUCUCAGUUCAGAUUGUGGUCUGCAACUCGACUACAUGAAGUUGGAAUUGCUAGUAAUGGCGUGUCAGCAACAACGCCGUGAAUA
rnacentral:rRNA from 1 species